UACGUAGGGUGCAAGCGUUGUCCGGAAUUAUUGGGCGUAAAGAGCUCGUAGGCGGUUUGUCGCGUCGUCCGUGAAAACUUGGGGCUCAACCCCAAGCUUGCGGGCGAUACGGGCAGACUUGAGUACUGCAGGGGAGACUGGAAUUCCUGGUGUAGCGGUGAAAUGCGCAGAUAUCAGGAGGAACACCGGUGGCGAAGGCGGGUCUCUGGGCAGUAACUGACGCUGAGGAGCGAAAGCGUGGGUAGCGAACAGG
rnacentral:rRNA from 1 species